GACGAACGCUGGCGGCGUGCUUAACACAUGCAAGUCGAACGAAGUGGCGAACGGGUGAGUAACGCGUAAUCAACCUGCCCUUCAGAGGGGGACAACAGUUGGAAACGACUGCUAAUACCGCAUACUGAAGGAGGGGAUUGCGUCUGAUUAGCUAGUUGGAGGGGUAACGGCCCACCAAGGCGCUGAUCAGGAGCCGGUGUGAGAGGAGGAAGGGGCAAAUUGUGACGGAGAAAAGGCCCAGAUGCCUACGGGAGGCAGCAGGGGGGAAUCUUCCUGAAUGGAUGAAAGUUGGACGGAGCAAAGCCGCGUGAGUGAUGACGGCCUUCGGGUUGUAAAGCUCUGUUAAUCGGGACGCGGUACCGGAAUAGAAAGCCACGGCUAACUACGUGCCAGCCGCCGCGAUAAUAC
rnacentral:rRNA from 1 species